rnacentral:rRNA from 1 species
AGGGAUCAUUACAGAGUUCAUGCCCUCACGGGUAGAUCUCCCACCCUAUGUUAUCGUUAUCUUUGUUGCUUUGGCGAGCCGUCAGGCUUUUAGUCAGGCUACCGGCUUCAGCUGGUAAGCGCUCGCCAGAGGACCCUAAACUCUGAAUGUUAGUGUCGUCUGAGUACUAUAUAAUAGUUAAAACUUUCAACAACGGAUCUCUUGGUUCUGGCAUCGAUGAAGAACGCAGCGAAAUGCGAUAAGUAAUGUGAAUUGCAGAAUUCAGUGAAUCAUCGAAUCUUUGAACGCACAUUGCGCCCCUUGGUAUUCCGGGGGGCAUGCCUGUUCGAGCGUCAUUACAACCCUCAAGCCUGGCUUGGUAUUGGGCUUCGCCGUUUUGGCGGGCCUUAAAAUCAGUGGCGGUGCCGUCGAGGCCCUGAGCGUAGUAAAUAUCCUCGCUAUAGGGACCCGGUGGUUGCUAGCCAUGAACCCCCAACUUUCUAAGUUUGACCUCGGAUCAGGUAGGGAUACCCGCUGAACUUAA